UUUUUUCCCAUUUCAUAUGCACUACUAGCAUGUAUUCAGGUCUGCUUGGUUACUUAACGGUCAUGAAACCUCUUCCUGAGGAUAAUUAUGUUUGGAGAACUGGACUCUCUGUCUAUAGCCAUGUUUGAUUGCUUUUCUUUGAUGUGUUGUACAUUUCUUAUUUGUUCCCUUCUCUUUUGCCCCUGCUUGUGUGAUUCUCGCUUUGAAACUGGUUAGUCCAAAUGAAUUUCAAAAGAAUUCUUUCAACUCUUCUUAUUGGUUUCCUCAAACUGUCUCUCAACUGUUUUCAACUCUAUCACAAUCUAACUACUCUUAAAACUUAGGUUCUACCCCCUUAGUGUAAGCAUUACCUUGGAAGCCUUGAGCGCCCAGUGAACUAUGAUACACAAGGCUGGCACUUUCACACUUGCACUUGUCAAUAAUUAUAUAUUCUGGGUGCUUCGUAUUGGCUAGGGGUUCGAACGAACCCUUUAGGGAACUUUGCCGCACCCAAACCUUGGUAAAGGCUGUGAAACUCGAAAGAAG
rnacentral:lncRNA from 1 species